AAUUUUGACCGUUAAUCCAAGCGUAAACGAAAUGAUAAAAUAAUUAAAAGCAUCAAUUAAAAUCAACUAAUCAUUAUCUCUGGGCAAUCCAAUUCAGAAAAUCAGCAUCUCAUUAGCUGCAAUUUUCACUUCUAUGUGACCGUAUCACCAUAGAACUACCAACACUGUAAAUCAUCUUCACAUGGACACUCCCAUGAACCUCCAACUAGUAUAAGCAACCCUUCUCGGUUAACUUAACUACACCCAAUACGCCCACUCUCGUAAUAACAAG
rnacentral:lncRNA from 1 species